CGGACGGGUGAGUAACACGUGGGUAACCUGCCCUUAAGUGGGGGAUAACAUUUGGAAACAGAUGCUAAUACCGCAUAAAUCCAAGAACCGCAUGGUUCUUGGCUGAAAGAUGGCGUAAGCUAUCGCUUUUGGAUGGACCCGCGGCGUAUUAGCUAGUUGGUGAGGUAACGGCUCACCAAGGCAAUGAUACGUAGCCGAACUGAGAGGUUGAUCGGCCACAUUGGGACUGAGACACGGCCCAA
rnacentral:rRNA from 1 species